UACAGAGGUCUCAAGCGUUGUUCGGAAUCAUUGGGCGUAAAGGGUGCGUAGGCGGCGAGACAAGUCGAGUGUGAAAUUUCGGGGCUCAACCCCGAAACUGCAUACGAUACUGUCCCGCUCGAGUGCUAUAGAGGAGACUGGAAUUUACGGUGUAGCAGUGAAAUGCGUAGAUAUCGUAAGGAACACCAGUGGCGAAAGCGAGUCUCUGGAUAGCAACUGACGCUGAAGCACGAAGGCCAGGGGAGCAAACGGG
rnacentral:rRNA from 1 species